rnacentral:lncRNA from 1 species
CUCUCCCCAUACGACCAUUCUGCAACGUAUGUAUAAUAACAUGUUCUGUCAUGCUCUCUUUGUUUCUCCUGGUGCUUCAGUGUUGCUGAUCCAGACGUCACCUCCUCGUCCCUGGCUCAGAGACAGCCGGCCUGCAGCAGAGUGGAGGAGCUCCAGCAUAGAGCUGCUCAGCUCCCCACUUUGUUCCCCUGGCCCGGCGCUUCUGAGCGCAGACACAUCUGCCUUCAAGCCCGUCAACUGCACGAUGAGGCUGAAUCCCUGCAAUUAACUCUAACGAGCCUGGCUGAGCAGAGGAGGGAGCUGUUGGAACAAACCAGCGACGCCAUGUGGAACGAUUCGUCCUCGGCCGAGCGGGAGACCUACUGCUCACUGAUGGACGAGCUGAAGGGUGUGUGUUCCCGCCUGGAGGAAGGUGUGUGUGAUGAGGAACAGUUCGGUCAGUCAGUGCAGGCCUGCCAUCGUAAGUUGACAUCCCUGCAGGAAAGGAUGUCCGCCUGGCAAGCCCAGAAAGAAGCACCUCUGGAGGUGAGGUUGUGUUACAUUUUAUGCAUUUAAACUAUGAAAAAUAGUUUCCUGACAUUUAUCCACCUUUAUCUUAUUUCUUUCUAUCACUCUCCACUUUUCAGGCUUUGCUUCAGGAAGUAACCGACGUAGAAGAAGACCUUUUACAAAUUGUAACACUGAAGGACUCCAUCACAGCCAGCUCUACAGCUGAGGCCCGGGCCAGCCUCUCCCAGCAAGUCAGCGACCUACAGAACCACAAGAGGGCAGUAGACGGUAGCGUCAGAGAACAUGUGGCUCUGCUCACAGAAAGCAACAACCGGAGAGUUCAACGUGUGAAGGAUGAGGUCACCUGUGUUCAAACCGC